UUCAAAAAGUUUAAUAUUUGAUAUUUAAAUUUUCAAACAAAAAUACAAUCUUAGAGAAAACAAAUGAAAUUAAAUAAAAAAUAAAACUUCUCUCGAGUCAAUAAUCUAAUUUCUUCUAAAGAAAUUCUAUUCCAUAAUAGAUCUUCUCCCUUUACACUUUCAGCAUGUCGUCAAUAAAAAAUCAUUUUCCCCACAUAGACUGUAUCACAUAGUAAUCACUUUGGGCCAAUGUGUGAUUGCGAUUAUAACCUCUAGAUUAGAAAUUCGCCGCGAACAAGAAUUUCACGACCGUUGUACACCACACAUGUGUAUUACACGCACCGCCGACGAUACUAGCUGUGGCAACGAUGGAAAACGGUGAUCGCAACAGCGGCACGCAAAGUGAGCCGACAAAGGCGUCUUAUCGCGGUUAAUUUAUAUUUCAAAAGGUUACUGGUACCAUCGAAAGAACGUAGAAACUCUCUCGGCGUUAUUCCACAAGAAAUUCUAUCUGUCGAAAGAUUUAUCAAUGCAUCCAAGAUGAUUUUGAGAAUUUUUCUUAUUAUUAAUUUUUUUCAUGAUAGUGUAUACAAGAUGGCGGACACCAUCUGUAAGCGCGGGAAAUUUGAUUUUUAUAGAAGCGUUCAAUAUGAAAAUUUUUGAACAGAUCCAAUCUUGAUAUUCAAUUCCAUCGAACACAAAAUAUCGUGGUGAAACAUGUGCAACGUAUUAACGUUCUUAGGUUAAUCGAUCUCGGUGGAAGAUCGAGGCAAUUAACGCCAGUAUCGCCAAUCGAUGAUGAACAUUCGUCAUCCGAAGACCGGUUUCUAUCGGGUGAUUCACCAUCAUGGAUUCUAUAAAAUCCCACCAACAAUGUUCCUGUCAUGGAUUUUCUUUUACUUUUAUCACCUUUUUUUAAGUCUCGAAGGAUGACCGAAUGCUCAUUAAUAGUAUCCUAGCGAUCCACGCACCGCCAUUUUCUCAAUCAACAAUCGAGAUCAACCUCGAAGCCUUCCCUAACCUCAAACAUCGAUCAAUUCUCGUCAACGUUCCCGCAAAAGGGAACGCAACGCAUGGCACGACUUUUACAAAGUAGGGAUAAGUUCACCACACGCGGAUACACUCUCCACCACGACACUAUUCAAUUUCUCAUUCAGGAUAUCAUGCAUCAUCUUUUGAGCUUAAAAAUUAUCUCUUCGAUCUUCCAGGAUUUCCGUGGCAUGGCGUCUUGCACAAUCUUCUCGAAUCGUCAUAAAUCAUGUCGACGGAUUGCGUGGGCGGCUAUGGAACACGCUCUAACCCCCUUCCAAGUGAUGCAUAGUAACAUUUUACAGGAUUUUUACGCACCGUCACAAUUCAUCCGUUAAUGACACCGACACUGGAAAUCAAAGAAAUGCGAAUAUGUAAUUAUAUUGGUGAAAAUAUAACCAUGUAACGAGAGUACAAAAAAAAAAAAAGGCGAACUCACUCAUUAUGUACACGCAAUCUGGCAUUCCGUGUGUCGAACGUAUAAAGAGCGCCUCUUAAAAGUGUGUUCAGUAUGGACGAAAAAUCUGCUUGAUAAAAUGGACUUACCUGAAACAAAGGAAAAAAAAAAAAAACAUUUAAAAAUAUUAUUGAAAUAUAUAUGUAUAUAUCUAUUUAUUAUAUAUGUAUUCUUUCCUUAAUACGACUUCCUCGAUUGUUAAUAAAAUAAAAAAAUUAUAAUUAAUGUCAAUAGUUCAAUGCAGAUAUAUUGCACCGUGGUUUAUGAACGAAAUUCCUACGUCUCACCUACGAGGGAACUUAAUGAAAGAAAGCAUCAACUCUAUGCGGACGUAGCACACGCCUUUUCGUUAUUUCUCAUAAUCGCCCACGCUUGGCCGCUCGCCAGCCAAGAGACCCUGGUUUCCCGAGAAUCGAAAAUAAUCACGUCUUCCUCCUCCGCCUUUUCCUCUUCCUUUCGUACGCGUGAAUCGUCCGAGGAAAGCGGGAAAGCUAAUUUAAUUAACGAUCCAUUUCGCCACUCUCUAUCUUCGAAUUAUUUUACGCCUUUGAAAUAAUUAAAUUUACGACGAAAGAAUACGAUUCUCCUGUGAACGACGAUAGACGAUUUUAAGAAGUGACAGAACUGAUCGUGAAAAUGAUUGGAUCACGGGUUUACUUUGGAAUUAGUAAACCGAGUCAAAUUGAUUGAUUCAAUUUUUUGUAUUUGCAAUUGAAUUACAUAAUUUCGAAAUUAAAAUAUUCAUCCUGUUCAAGAUAAAUAUACGUCUGAAUAUUUUUUAGAAUUAAUAAGUGUGUGAACAUAUAUGAUUUAUAGUCAGAUAUUACCCUUCUCUAUUAGUUUUUUUUUUUUUUCUAAUAUGUGAUAAUAGUCAACAGGAAAUGAAACAGGAAAAGAAAAAACGAAGAUCUUAUCGUACCGUGAAACGUAUCGCAAUAUACGAUCAUAAAUGAUUAUCUAAUAAAAAACGUAAGAGGGAUAAAAACGGUCAAUUACAUGAAACCAUAAUUAACAUGCUAAUGAAUCGAACUUAAUAUAGUAUAUUUAUUUUGAUACAAAAUAUCAAUAUAUUCAUAUAAGAUAUGUUUGCAGAGUCGAGUCUAAAGCCUAAAAUAAACCUAACGGUUAAUAUACAAAAAUAUCAUUUAAGACGUAUUUAUUAAGCAAUUUAAAUUUGCAUUACGAUGAGACGAAACAAAAUGAUAUCGAUCAAAGAUCAUAUCAAUAUCAUCUUAAUCUUUAAUUUCUAUAAGAACAAUUACAACUGAAAUGAUAAAUCACUAAAUAAUCGUUCUUGUUAUACUGUAAAGUAUACCACAAUAAUUCAUAAACUCACUUAAUCUAAUUAAGAUGAUAAAUUUCAUUCCAAACAAGCUUGUCUAUCAGUCGAUCUCUAAAAAUUUUCCAUCGACGACACCAACUAAAUUUGGUGCGCACAAUGUAUCUGCACAUGUAUCAACAGACGUGCGCCGCGAUGCAAAUUUGCAUCUGGUUGCGCAACCGCGCUCUCGGACAUGGUCGCAAAAAUACAGCCAUACUAUAUCGAUCGAUGUGUAAUCGAUGAAUCUAAUAAUGGCCUGAGCCGCGAUUAUUCAAGAUCGACGCCGUGUGUAGCACGCGGUCAGAAUACACUCGUGAAAUCAACGCGGUUGAGAAAAGAUAUAUAUUCCCCUUUACAAACUGGCGAAACGUUUCGUUGGUGGUAGGCGGCCGAGCGUGGGUCUCGGUGGCCUCUCUACCGCGAUUUAAAUAUUUAACUCCGUUUAAACGUGAGCGAGAGCCAACCGUUACUCGCGCGAGCGAUAAUUUUCAUCCGCGGGUAAACUCGCUUGGGAAAAUCGACCGACCGCGUGAAUCAUCCUCCCACCUGAUUUCCAACCUAUCUGAUGAGAAUCAGUGGGAAAAUCUCAUUGGCACUCUUGGUUUUGCAUUUGUUAGGUUAGGUAAUACUAGUUCUCUGCCUAUUUAAUUGGAAUCAUUGGAUUUCUUAUUUUUUUAUUCAUCUAGUGAUUAGAUAAUCAUUUACUUUGUUAUUAUUAUAUUAUCGUUACGAGCGGUAACAGACAAAGUGCGCGAAGCCAAAUUUUACGUUCCAUGGCCUACUGGCAGUGAAUUAAGAAGUAGGAAAAGAAGAUCACAUUUCCAAUUUACCGACGGUAACGAAGAGAAUCAAGAGUCAUACCUCGUAACUCGAAAAGCAAAGAUGAAAAUACACAGAUACGUUGCAAACAACACUGAAUUAAUAUAAAUAAAGAUGUUACAUUCGAAGAUGAAUUUUACGA